UAUGACCUUUGACCUUCCUAUGU
rnacentral:piRNA from 1 species